GAGAGAGAGAGAGAGAGGGAGAAAGGGAUGAAAUAAGAAACUAAAAUAUCAGAAAGAAGGAAAUAGGAAAGGAAAGAGAUAUUAGGUCGAUAAAUAAAUCAAGAGAUAGAAAGAGAAAGAAAGAGAGAGAGAGAGAGAGACAGAUUACGAAAAACAAGAAAUUAGAAGGAGAAACAGUGAUUUUUGCAGAAAAAAAGAAACGGAAAGAGAGAGAAAGAGAGUUUAAAAGGAAAGAUAUUAUGAGAAAUAUCAGAAAGAAGAAAGAUAGACUAAGAGUUAGAAGAGAGAGGGACAGAC